AACUGGCCCUAAUUCCUGAAACGCAGUCAAGAAGAAGAAAGAUAAGACACGUUAGCGGUGCAAGAUGGCAAGCCAUUUGACGGAUCGAAUUUUAGAAUAUCUGGAUACACAUAGCGAAACAAAUUCGUUAUAUUUGGCAGAUAUACUUCAAGAGGAUCAUCAAAAGAUCAUAGGCGCGAUCAAAAGUCUCGAGACGGUCCAUGAUUUGAUCACGGUAAAACCGAUUUCCCAAAAAAAAUGGGAAAUUACCGACGAAGGAAAAUACGUAAUAGAACAUGGCAGUCACGAAGCGAUCGUUUACAAUGCUAUCCCUGAUGAAGGGAUAUCUCAGGCCAAACUUAUCAAAUCUAGCCCUUAUGCUAAAGUAGGUUUUUCCAAGGCGAUGGUUCUAGGAUGGAUCGAGCUUGAUAAAAGUGGAAACAUUCCUACUGUACGAAAGAAAGCAUCGUCCAUUAUAGAUAUCAUUCAGAUACAUUUGAAGAACCUCACAAAUGUCCCGGAAAAUGUUAAAGCAGAAUAUAAGAAGAGAAAGUUAUUGCAGGAGGUGAUGAUAAAAAUUAUGCAUCUUGAAAAGGGGCCAAAUUUUUCUACGAAAAUAGAAAAGCUAGAAACAGACUUGACGUCAGAUUUAUUGGUAAAUGGUGUUUGGAAAGAUAAAAAAUUUAAACCAUACAAUUUUGACGCUCUAGGUGCGUCACUUCAAAUAGGACAUUUACAUCCAUUGUUAAAAGUUCGUCAUGAAUUCAGGAAAAUCUUCUUGGAAAUGGGAUUUACUGAAAUGCCAUCAAAUAAUUACAUAGAAAGUUCUUUUUGGAAUUUUGACGCUCUUUUCCAGCCGCAGCAACAUCCUGCUCGUGAUGCUCACGAUACUUUUUUCAUCUCUGAACCUUGUCUUAGCACAAAGUUCCCUAUGGAAUAUUUGGAAAGAGUAAGGACUGUUCACAGUAAAGGAGCAUAUGGAUCUCAAGGUUAUAGAUAUGAUUGGAAGUUGGAAGAGGCACAAAAAAAUUUGCUGCGCACUCAUACAACAUCCAAUAGUGCACGAAUGUUAUAUAAACUUAUGGAGAAAGGAAAUUUUAAGCCGAUCAAGUACUUCAGUAUUGAUAGAGUAUUUCGCAAUGAAACUUUAGAUGCGACACAUCUUGCUGAAUUUCAUCAAGUUGAAGGUGUCGUUGCCGAUUACAACCUUACAUUGGGUAAUCUUAUUGGCACUUUAUAUGAAUUCUUUAGUAAACUUGGUAUUACUCAACUUCAAUUCAAACCUGCGUAUAAUCCGUACACUGAGCCGAGUAUGGAAAUAUUCUGUUUUCAUAAUGGAUUAGAGAAAUGGAUAGAGAUUGGUAAUAGCGGUAUGUUUAGACCUGAAAUGUUAUUGCCAAUGAAUCUACCUCCUGAUGUAAAUGUCAUUGCGUGGGGUUUGUCAUUAGAAAGGCCAACAAUGAUUAAAUAUGGUUUAAACAAUAUACGCGAUCUUGUUGGACCGAAAGUGGAUAUGGAAAUGGUUCAUAACAAUCCAUUAUGUCGAUUAGAGAAGUAAAUACAUUUUAAGCAAGUAGUACUACUAUGGAGAUUCUAACUCAUGGGGCGCGGGAAGGUCCCAGCGCCACCGCUGUCGUCGCCACCACCGCCGCCGCCGCCGCCUUCUUCUUCCGAUUUCGGAUCGGUUCUUACGGUCGGAGGCCGAAGAGUUCCGCCAGGAAGAAAUCACCUUCCUCCCACAUAUCAAUACUCUCUUUUCGAUCCCAACGACUUUCUGCGCAUAUUAUCUGCGCAUUAAAGAUGUUCAUGAACCCUUUUAUCUUUACAUAGUUAUGAUGUGUUUCCUGAUAAAAAGUAUCGUACAAAGUGAAUUACAACAAGAUAAUUAGAAAAUAUUCUAUCUACAAUUUAUAAUUUAUAAGCUAUAAUUUAUAAUUUAUAAUUUAUACUGAACUUACCAGGGGAAUUACUAGAAUCUCCACCUCAUUCCGUAACUGGAGCCGUACGACUUUCAGGUCUUGUCUCUCGACGAUGAUGUACUGGAAAAAUAAAAAAUAAAAAAAACAUUAGAAAAAUAAA
rnacentral:misc_RNA from 1 species